UGCAAGUCGAACGGAAACGAUGGAAGCUUGCUUCCAGGCGUCGAGUGGCGGACGGGUGAGUAAUGCUUGGGAAUCUGCCUAAUAGUGGGGGAAAACUCGGGGAAACUCGGGCUAAUACCGCAUAAUCUCUUCGGAGGAAAGGGGGCCUCUACAUGUAAGCUCUCGCUAAUAGAUGAGCCCAAGUCAGAUUAGCUUGUUGGUGAGGUAAAAGCUCACCAAGGCUACGAUCUGUAGCUGGUCUGAGAGGACGAUCAGCCACACUGGGACUGAGACACGGCCCAGACUCCUACGGGAGGCAGCAGUGGGGAAUAUUGCACAAUGGGCGCAAGCCUGAUGCAGCAAUGCCGCGUGUGUGAAGAAGGCUUUAGGGUUGUAAAGCACUUUCAAUAGAGAAGAAAAGCUUAGAGUUAAUAACUCUAAGCAUUGACGUAACCUAUAGAAGAAGCACCGGCUAAAUCCGUGCCAGCAGCCGCGGUAAUACGGAUGGUGCGAGCGUUAAUCGGAAUUACUGGGCGUAAAGCGUACGUAGGCUGUUUUAUAAGUCGGAUGUGAAAUCCCCGGGCUCAACCUGGGAACUGCAUCCGAAACUAUUUAACUAGAGUAUGGGAGAGGUAAGUAGAAUUUCCGGUGUAGCGGUGAAAUGCGUAGAUAUCGGAAGGAAUACCAGUGGCGAAGGCGGCUUACUGGACCAAUACUGACGCUGAGGUACGAAAGCGUGGGGAGCGAACAGGAUUA
rnacentral:rRNA from 1 species